UUGGCCAUAAGUGUUUUUUUACCACACUGCUACCGACGAACAAUCCUAAACAGCAUUUCUUUGAUGUUUAACAGAUUACAGCAGAUCAAUAAUGAUUUUCAAGGUUGAAGUUUUGUGGGAUCAUAAAAAAUACACAUUUUCGGCAGCUUCACAGGAAGAAUUUGAGAAGACCACCAUUCUGGAGAUAAAGAAAAAAUGUUCUUCUUUUUUAUUUGGCAAUAAUAGUCCCGAUCUGCAAUCAAUUAAAAUACUUUGGGCGGGCAAAGAACUGGAGGAUGAUCAUACUCUUGGGUUUUAUAAAGUUCAACAUUGUCCAGUUCUGGUCUAUUCUGUGAAAGUGGCUGGUGGAGGAGGCCCCUUACCUGAAGAUAAAGAUGAUGGAUUUCCCAGGAGUGAGUCUAUGGAAAAAUUAAAUCUCCGAAUGUAGCGUUUCUUUUAGAGUGUCAUCUAUUUACUAUUUACCCUAUAAUAAUUUUACACUAUUAAAUGAUAUGAUAAUGUUAGUUAUCAAUAGUUGUUAGAUACUAAGCAUUAUCGUAUAAUGUAAAAAAACGGGUUAAAGGACACUAAUUGUACCUGCUGUGUUAUCUUAACUCAUUCUUCGCCAGCCAUUUUUAUUUUAUUUUCACAAAAUAUCAUCACUACAAAAACUAGACUAUGCCACUGUGACAUUGUUUCAUUCAGUCAAAACACUGAUAUUGCUGUAACAUAUCCAGCGAGAAAAAUAUGUUAAUCUAUUUUCAUAAAUUUUGCCAAUUAAAUGUUGAUGACACAAGGCUG